ACGUAGGGUGCGAGCGUUGUCCGGAUUUAUUGGGCGUAAAGGGCGCGUAGGCGGCUUGGCAAGUGGAAGGUGAAAUCCCUCGACUUAACCGAGGAACUGCCCUCCAAACUGCUUUGCUUGAGGCCGGGAGAGGUGAGUGGAAUUCCCAGUGUAGCGGUGAAAUGCGUAGAUAUUGGGAGGAACACCAGUGGCGAAGGCGGCUCACUGGACCGGUUCUGACGCUGAUGCGCGAAAGCGUGGGGAGCAAACGGGA
rnacentral:rRNA from 1 species